AUGCGUCAAUAUUGGUGGGGUGUUGAGAAUGGCAAGAAGAAGAUGUCGUGGUUAAAGUGGGACAAAAUGACUCUGCCGAAAUCAAAAGGCGGCAUGGGAUUCAGAGACAUGAGAGCAUUUAACCAAGCUAUGUUGGCUAAACAGGCUUGGCGUUUAAUUGAUUCCCCUGAUAGUUUGUGUGCCCGCCUUCUAAAGGCCAAGUAUUAUCCGAACGGUAAUAUUCUUGAUAUUGUGUUUCCGGUGAACUCAUCG
rnacentral:rRNA from 1 species